GCGGGCAUCCGCAUAUGGCGUCUUCCAAACCAGCUACGCGGGUUCGAUUCCCGUCGCCCGCU
rnacentral:tRNA from 1 species